GCAUGUUUACCUCAAUUUUGUCUAUAACACAUUUUUGAGAGCGUUCCAAAAUAAUGCUGAUGUCAGCAAUUUUUAUGUUUUCAAGAGGAACUGAAUCGUUUGAAUUCAAAAUUUGGGGGGAAUUUUUGUAGUGAUGACAUGUAAAACAUAUAAAACACCCAAUUUUGUGACUCUUGUUUUAAAUUUUUCUGGUUUCAAGUGUAUUUGAAGAAUUGUGUGGUGUUCGUCUGGGAUUUCAAUUUUCCCCCCAUUACCGCAGUGUUAUUUAUAAUCUCUAUGAUCUUUAGUCCAGAUUUGCAAGCAUGCAAACACAAAUAUCUCUAUUACUGAGGUCACUAUUUAAAACGUUCCACGUUUUACAUGCUCCAAUAAAAUAUAAAGUCUGGCAUACGGCACAGCAGCCAAUUAAUAGGCGAGUUUUCAGGAAAAGAUCAGCAAUGAUUUGUUCCGUGUCCCUUCAUCAGUUGCUUCAUGCGUUCGCUUGAACUCUGGAUGGUUGUUUACACCAAAAUGGGUGAUCGUCAGACAAGAUGAGGGCAACAGUCCGUGUCUUAUCCAGGGGCCGGUUGUAUCAAGCCCGUUUAGCUUACACGGUGGAUAAGUCUAAAUUA